UAAAUAAAGUAACAGGUUUGAAUGGUAGAUAAAAGCAUCAAUGAUAAUAAGGAAAAGGAUGUUGCACCAAAUUAUCAUCCCUGCUACUUCCAUGCUUAUAUAACAUUUUUCCCAUUAAAAGGUUGAACCUCACUUCCCUAACACUUUGCAUCAUAGGCUGUAUUGGCCUCUCUCCUCAGCUUCCUAAAGGAUGGAUCAAUCUCCACCACCAGAAGCACCGCCGCAGCUGCAACCAGAAGGUCCUAGUGGACGCCUGAUGUCAUGCUUGUGGUUUCUCUGCUUUUGUGGUCUAUUCACAAGCUGCUGCCCAGAAAUUUUUCCCCGACCACCAUCAGCGGCUCUGUGACAAUUUAAAUGUCCAUGAUGAUUGUAAUUUCCCGGAAAAUUCAUUUGUCCUCUCUUAUUCUCUCAAGUGGCGUAGAAAGAAAUGUAAAUAUGAACAUUUUGACUGAAA